rnacentral:rRNA from 1 species
AUCUAUGGCCAUACCACCCUGAACACACCCAAUCUCAUCCGAUCUUGGAAGCUAAGCAGGGUCUGGCCUGGUUAGUACUUGGAUGGGAGAAAAUUUGGGACACCACUGAGU